ACAUGCCUACAAUAUAGAGUUAAUGCACCAGAUCCCUUUAGAACUUCACUGUUAAGCAUACUCGGGCUAGAGUAGUACUGGGAUGGGUAAUCUCAUGGGAAGUCCAGUAUUUUACAUGCC
rnacentral:rRNA from 1 species